rnacentral:rRNA from 1 species
UACAUAGGAGGCAAGCGUUAUUCGGAAUUAUUGGGCGUAAAGAGCGCGUAGACGGCUUUGCAAGUGACGGGUGAAAUCCCUCGGCUUAACCGAGGAACUGCCUGUCAAACUGCAUGGCUUGAGACCGGGAGAGGUAAGUGGAAUUCCCAGUGUAGCGGUGAAAUGCGUAGAUAUUGGGAGGAACACCAGUGACGAAGGCGACUCACUGGACCAGUACUGACGCUGAUGCGCGAAAGCGUAAGGAGCAAACAGG